CCCAGUGGUUAGUCAGCUAUCCAGUGCCAAUCAGUGCCUGUGAUAGUGUUACAUUGCUGGGAGAUCAAGACAAUGCACCCAAUGCUGGUGUCCCACUGUUACUGUUCUGGUGACGUGUAGCACAUGCAACUAGGCAUUGUUGUACAGUACUUCCUCGAGAGUGCGCCAAACAUCUACCAUGUUUGUUUUGGAGCUAGUCUGGAAGCACACAGA
rnacentral:snoRNA from 1 species